AUUGAACGCUGGCGGAAUGCUUUACACAUGCAAGUCGAGCGGCAGCGCGGGGGCAACCCUGGCGGCGAGCGGCGAACGGGUGAGUAACAUAUCGGGAACGUACUCUGUCGUGGGGGAUAACUAUCCGAAAGGAUAGCUAAUACCGCAUACGACCUGAGGGUGAAAGCGGGGGAUCGCAAGACCUCGCGCGAUAGGAGCGGCCGAUAUCGGAUUAGCUAGUUGGUGGGUAAAGGCUCACCAAGGCGACGAUUCGUAGCUGGUCUGAGAGGACGACCAGCCACACUGGAACUGAGACACGGUCCAGACUCCUACGGGAGGCAGCAGUGGGGGAAUUUUUGGACAAUGGGGGCAACCCUGAUCCAGCCAUUCCGCGUGAGUGAAGAAGGCCUGGUUCG
rnacentral:rRNA from 1 species